rnacentral:rRNA from 1 species
AGUGAACGCUGGCGGUAGGCCUAACACAUGCAAGUCGAACGGCAGCACAGAGGAGCUUGCUCCUUGGGUGGCGAGUGGCGGACGGGUGAGGAAUACAUCGGAAUCUACUCUGUCGUGAGGGAUAACGUAGGGAAACUUACGCUAAUACCGCAUACGACCUACGGGUGAAAGCAGGGGACCUUCGGGCCUUGCGCGAUUGAAUGAGCCGAUGUCGGAUUAGCUAGUUGGCGGGGUAAAGGCCCACCAAGGCGACGAUCCGUAGCUGGUCUGAGAGGAUGAUCAGCCACACUGGAACUGAGACACGGUCCAGACUCCUACGGGAGGCAGCAGUGGGGAAUAUUGGACAAUGGGCGCAAGCCUGAUUCAGCCAUACCGCGUGGGUGAAGAAGGCCUUCGGGUUGUAAAGCCCUUUUGUUGGGAAAGAAAUCCAGCUGGUUAAUACCCGGUUGGGAUGACGGUACCAAAAGAAUAAGCACCGGCUAACUUCGUGCCAGCCGCCGCCGUAA